AAUGAACGCUGGCGGCGUGCCUCAGACAUGCAAGUCGAACGAGAAAGCUUCUUCGGAAGUGAUUAGAGUGGCGCACGGGUGAGUAAUACUUGGGUAACGUACCAUGAUGCUGGGGAUAACCAGAGGAAACUCUGGCUAAUACCGAAUAGUCCAACUAUUUCGCAUGAAAGAGUUGGUAAAGCCGUAAGGCGCGUUGUGAUCGGCCCAAGUCCCAUUAGUUUGUUGGUAGGGUAAUGGCCUACCAAGGCUACGAUGGGUAGCUGGUUUGAGAGGAUGAUCAGCCACACUGGUACUGGAACACGGACCAGACUCCUACGGGAGGCAGCAGUUAGGAAUAUUGCGCAAUGGGGGAAACCCUGACGCAGCAACGUCGCGUGAGCGAAGAAGGCCUUCGGGUUGUAAAGCUCUUUCAGCAGGGAAGAUAAUGACGUUACCUGCAUAAGAAGCACCGGCUAACUCCG
rnacentral:rRNA from 1 species